CCAGCCAUGCCGCGUGUGUGAAGAAGGCCUUAGGGUCGUAAAGCUCUUUCGCCAGGGAAGAUAAUGACUGUACCUGGUAAAGAAGUCCCGGCUAACUCCGUGCCAGCAGCCGCGGUAAUACGGAGGGGACUAGCGUUGUUCGGAAUUACUGGGCGUAAAGCGCACGUAGGCGGACCAGAAAGUAUGGGGUGAAAUCCCAGGGCUCAACCCUGGAACUGCCUCAUAAACUCCUGGUCUAGAGUUCGAGAGAGGUGAGUGGAAUUCCGAGUGUAGAGGUGAAAUUCGUAGAUAUUCGGAGGAACACCAGUGGCGAAGGCGGCUCACUGGCUCGAUACUGACGCUGAGGUGCGAAAGUGUGGGGAGCAAACAGGAUUAGAUACCCUGGUAGUCCACGCCGUAAACGAUGACAUGUCUAGUCGUCAGGGGGUCCAUGUCCCUUUGGUGCACGACAGCUAACGCAUUAAGCAUGCCGCCUGGGGAGUACGAUCGCAAGAUU
rnacentral:rRNA from 1 species